GACGAACCGAGCGAACGUUGUUCGGAAUCACUGGGCUUAAAGGGCGCGUAGGCGGGUUUCUAAGUCCGUGGUGAAAUACCUCAGCUCAACUGAGGAACUGCCUCGGAUACUGGAAGUCUCGAGGGUGGUAGGGGUAUGCGGAACUAUCGGUGGAGCGGUGAAAUGCGUUGAUAUCGAUAGGAACUCCGGUGGCGAAGGCGGCAUACUGGACCACAUCUGACGCUGAGGCGCGAAAGCCAGGGGAGCAAACGGG
rnacentral:rRNA from 1 species